GACGAACGCUGGCGGCGUGCCUAAUACAUGCAAGUCGAACGCAGUGGGGACGGGUGAGUAACACGUGGGUAACCUCCCAUCAGAGGGGAUAACACUUGGAAACAGGUGCUAAACCGAUACUGAUGGAUGGACCCGCGGUGCAUUAGCUAGUUGGUGAGGUAACGGCUCACCAAGGCCACGAUGCAUAGACGGUCUAGGAGGGUGAUAGGCGAAACUGGGACUUAGACACGGCCCAGACUCCUACGGGAGGCAGCAGUAGGAAAUCUUGGGCAAUGGACGAAAGUCUGACCGAGCAACGCCGCGUGAGUGAAGAAGGUUUUCGGAUCGUAAAACUCUGUUGUUAGAGAAGCGUUAUCUAACCAGAAAGCCACGACUAACUACGUGCCAGCAGCCGCGGUAAUAC
rnacentral:rRNA from 1 species